rnacentral:rRNA from 1 species
AGAGUUUGAUCAUGGCUCAGAACGAACGCUGGCGGCAGGCUUAACACAUGCAAGUCGAACGCGUGUAGCAAUACACGAGUGGCGCACGGGGUGAGUAACACGUGGAUUAUCUGCCUUUUGGUUCGGAAUAACCCCGGGAAACUGGGGCUAAUACCGGAUGGUUCCUACGGGAUAAAGAUUUAUCGCCAAAAGAUGAGUCCGCGCCCGAUUAGCUAGUUGGCGGGGUAAUGGCCCACCAAGGCUACGAUCGGUAGCUGGUCUGAGAGGACGAUCAGCCACACUGGGACUGAGACACGGCCCAGACUCCUACGGGAGGCAGCAGUGGGGAAUAUUGGACAAUGGGGGCAACCCUGAUCCAGCCAUGCCGCGUGAGUGAUGAAGGCCUUCGGGUUGUAAAGCUCUUUUGGCGGGGACGAUGAUGACGGUACCCGCAGAAUAAGCCCCGGCUAACUUCGUGCCAGCAGCCGCGGUAAGACGAAGGGGGCUAGCGUUGUUCGGAAUUACUGGGCGUAAAGCGCGUGUAGGCGGCUGCCAAAGUCGGGUGUGAAAGCCUUGAGCUCAACUCAAGAAAUGCACUCGAUACUUGGUGGCUAGAGGACCGGAGAGGAUAGUGGAAUUCCCAGUGUAGUGGUGAAAUACGUAGAGAUUGGGAAGAACACCAGUGGCGAAGGCGGCUAUCUGGACGGUUUCUGACGCUAAGACGCGAAAGCGUGGGGAGCAAACAGGAUUAGAUACCCUAGUAGUCC